CCUACGGGAGGCAGCAGUGAGGAAUAUUGGUCAAUGGGCGCGAGCCUGAACCAGCCAUGCCGCGUGAAGGAUGACGGCCCUACGGGUUGUAAACUGCUUUUAUAAAGGCAUAAAGUUUGACACGUGUGCCUUUUUGAACGUACUCUAUGAAUAAGGAUCGGCUAACUCCGUGCCAGAAGCCGCGGUAAUACGGAGGAUCCGCGCGUUAUCCGGAUUUAUUGGGUUUAAAGGGAGCGUAGAUGGGUUGAUAAGUCAGAUGUGAAAUUUUGCGGCUCAACCGUAGAAUUGCAAUUGAUACUGGCAGUCUUGAGUACAGGUGAGGUAGGCGGAAUUCGUGGUGUAGCGGUGAAAUGCUUAGAUAUCACGAAGAACACCGAUUGCGAAGGCAGCUUACUAAACUACCACUGACGUUGAUGCACGAAAGUGUGGGGAGCAAACAGGAUUAGAUACCCGUGUAGUC
rnacentral:rRNA from 1 species